UAAAUAAAAUCUUAAUAUUAAGUUUUCCCGAAUUUAGGAGAGCUAAUUAUAAAAGUAUUUUAAUGUUGAAAAAUUAUUUAUAAUUUAUAAUUAGGAAUUAUAUGUUAGUCAUUCUUUAAUAUAUCUGGUUUUCUAAGAAAUUAAUUUAAUUAAUUUUAUUAAAUAAAUAUUUUUUUUUAUGAAUUUAUUUUUUAAUAAUUUAAAUUUUGAGGGGAUAAGCUCUUGGAAUAAUUUUUAUAAUUUGUAUUAAAUUAAAGUUAAAUAGGAUUAGAAGUUUUCAUUUUUUGUAGAGUUUAAUAACCAAUUUUUUUUUAUAUUAAUUUUUUAUUAGUUUAGUUUUUUUAUUAGAAUAAUUUGUUUAAUGAUUAUAUAUAUAUAAUAAUGAUAAAAUUAGUAAAUUUAUUGUAUUUGAUUUUUAUAAAUAUUAGAUUUUAUUAAGGAAUUCGGCAAAUAAAUUUUUCGCCUGUUUAAUAAAAACAUGUCUUUUUGUAAAAUAUAUAAAGUCUGGCCUGCCCAAUGAUGUUUUAAAUGGCCGCGGUAUUUUGACCGUGCAAAGGUAGCAUAAUCAUUAGUUUUUUAAUUGAAAGCUGGAAUGAACGGUUUGACGAAAAAAUUACUGUCUCUUUAGAAUGAAUUGAAUUUUAUUAUUUAGUUAAAAAGCUUAAAUGAUAUUAAGGGACGAGAAGACCCUAUAGAAUUUUAUAAUUUGGUUUAUAAUUGUUUUUGGAUUAUUGUUGAUUAUUAUAAUUUAAAUUAUUUUGUUGGGGUGAUAGGAAAAUUUAUUAAACUUUUCUUUUCUUAGAACAUUGAUAUAUGAUUGUUUGAUCCAUUAUUUAUGAUUAUAAGAUUAAAUUACCUUAGGGAUAACAGCGUUAUUAAUUUGGAGAGUUCAUAUCGAUAAAUUAGUUUGCGACCUCGAUGUUGGAUUAAAAUUAUUAUUAGGUGGAGAUGCUUUAUUAAUAAGUCUGUUCGACUUUUAAAAUUUU
rnacentral:rRNA from 1 species